AGCGAACGCUGGCGGCAGGCCUAACACAUGCAAGUCGAACGAAGUCUUCGGACUUAGUGGCGGACGGGUGAGUAACACGUGGGAACGUACCUUUUGGUUCGGAACAACUCAGGGAAACUUGAGCUAAUAUCGGAUGAGCCCUUAGGGGGAAAGAUUUAUCGCCGAAAGAGCGGCCCGCGUUAGAUUAGCUAGUUGGUGAGGUAAAGGCUCACUAAGGCUACGAUCUAUAGCUGGUCUGAGAGGAUGAUCAGCCACACUGGGACUGAGACACGGCCCAGACUCCUACGGGAGGCAGCAGUGGGGAAUCUUGCGCAAUGGGCGAAAGCCUGACGCAGCCAUGCCGCGUGAAUGAUGAAGGUCUUAGGAUUGUAAAAUUCUUUUACCAGGGACGAUAAUGACGGUACCUGGAGAAAAAGCCCCGGCUAACUUCGUGCCAGCCGCCGCGGUAAAAC
rnacentral:rRNA from 1 species